rnacentral:rRNA from 1 species
CACCUCUUCCCAUUUCGAACAGAGAAGUUAAGCCCGCCAGCGUCGAUGGUACUGCAUACUGUGGGAGAGUAGAUCGCUGCCUUUC